GGAGAGAUGGCUCAGUGGUUAAGAGCACUGACUGCUCUUCCAAAGGUCCUGAGUUCAAAUCCCAGCAACUACA
rnacentral:tRNA from 1 species